GAUGAACGCUGGCGGCGUGCCUAAUACAUGCAAGUCGAGCGAACAGACGAGGAGCUUGCUCCUCUGACGUUAGCGGCGGACGGGUGAGUAACACGUGGAUAACCUACCUAUAAGACUGGGAUAACUUCGGGAAACCGGAGCUAAUACCGGAUAAUAUAUUGAACCGCAUGGUUCAAUAGUGAAAGACGGUUUUGCUGUCACUUAUAGAUGGAUCCGCGCCGCAUUAGCUAGUUGGUAAGGUAACGGCUUACCAAGGCGACGAUGCGUAGCCGACCCGAGAAGGUGAUCGGCCACACAGAGACUGAGACGCAGUCCAGACUCCUACGGGAGGCAGCAGUAGGGAAUCUACCGCAAUGGGCGAAAGCCUGACGGAGCAACGCCGCGUGAGUGAUGAAGGUCUUCGGAUCGUAAAACUCUGUUAUUAGGGAAGAACAAAUGUGUAAGUAACUAUGCACGUCUUGACGGUACCUAAUCAGAAAGCUACGGCUAACUACGUG
rnacentral:rRNA from 1 species